rnacentral:rRNA from 1 species
GACGAACGCUGGCGGCGUGCUUAACACAUGCAAGUCGAACGGAAAGGCACUGCUUUUGUGGGGUGCUCGAGUGGCGAACGGGUGCGUAACACGUGAGUAACCUGCCCUUGACUUUGGGAUAACUUCAGGAAACUGGGGCUAUACCGGAACGGAGCUCCUGCUGCAUGGUGGGGGUUGGAAAGUUUCGGCGGUUGGGGAUGGACUCGCGGCUUAUCGGCUUGUUGGUGGGGUAGUGGCUUACCAAGGCUUUGACGGGUAGCCGGCCUGAGAGGGUGACCGGCCACAUUGGGACUGCGAUACGGCGCAGUCUCCUACGGGGGGCAGCAGUGGGGAAUAUUGCACAAUGGGCGGAAGCCUGAGGCAGCAACGCCGCGUGCGGGAUGACGGCCUUCGGGUUAUAAACCGCUUUCGCCUGUGACGAAGCGUGAGUGACGGUAAUGGGUAAAGAAGCACCGGCUAACUACGUG